rnacentral:rRNA from 1 species
GACGAACGCUGGCGGCGUGCCUAACACAUGCAAGUCGAGCGGAGAUAUUAGCAAUAAUAUCUUAGCGGCGGACGGGUGAGUAACGCGUGGGCAACCUGCCUUUCACUGGGGGAUAACACAGGGAAACUUGUGCUAAUACCGCAUAACAUCACGAGAUGACAUCUUCUUGUGAUCAAAGGAGCAAUCCGGUGAUAGAUGGGCCCGCGUCCGAUUAGCUAGUUGGUGGUGUAACGGACCACCAAGGCGACGAUCGGUAGCCGAACUGAGAGGUUGAUCGGCCACAUUGGGACUGAGACACGGCCCAGACUCCUACGGGAGGCAGCAGUGGGGAAUAUUGCGCAAUGGGGGAAACCCUGACGCAGCAACGCCGCGUGAAGGAUGAAGGUUUUCGGAUUGUAAACUUCUUUGAUGAGGGACGAAAAAAUGACGGUACCUCAAAAACAAGCCACGGCUAACUACGUGCCAGCCGCCGCCGUAA